CUGAGUUGGUUUGCUUACCUCAACGGUUUGUCCCUGUUUGGCGUGUGGCUCUGUUCAUAGGUCUGUAACUGUGUCUUUGCCCGUCAGUCUUCCUGUGACCCUGUGCUUUUCUCUCUUUCUCUCUCUCUCUCUGUCCCUGUCUCUGUCCCUCUGUCCCUGAGUGAUGUGAGGCCGGGCUGGGGGCAGUCGCAGCCGCGUCCUCUCUUGCCCUCAUUGGUUCGCAGCCGCUCCCCCGGGCAGCCGCCGCCAGUCCCGCCCCUCCCCCGAACCCCCGCCCGGGACACGAGCGCGCUCAGAGCCGCCAGAAAGCUCAGUCUCCUGCUCAAAACAGGAGCGCAGCAGCCGGAGGGAGUGGGGACAAGCUCGCUGAACACUGGGCGUCUCGACAGGGACCAGAGCCUGCAGGACUGUUCCGAGACGCUGCGGUGGCGGCGGCGCCGGAGGACGCGGAGGACUCCCUGGCCACCCGCCCUCCGUGCGCUCUGCCACCGGGCGCUCAGCAGAGACCCCGGGCUGCGGCUGCACUUGCUGAGUGCCUCUCCCCGCCGCCGCAGCCCAGAGGCGCCCAGCACCUGGAGCUCACUGGAGCUGAGGGUCCGAGCUGAGCGGGCUGUUGUAAAGCCGAAAGGCGAGUCAGUGACUGGGACCUCUGUCCUGGUGGCGACGGAGAGAAACAGUGAGCCCGAGGGGCGCGGGCACAGAACUGUCCAGCUCCGAGAACUGGGGUCCGCCAGCCGGCGGGGAAAGCAGCUGAGCGCGGAGAGUGGCAACCCGAGAGGAAAGGGAGACCGAGGCGUCGGGAGCCUGUGUAGGGUCUCGAUCCCAGUACCUGUAGGUACCGUGAUUCUGAUCCCCUGGCCAAAUCUUUCUUCCUCUGGACAGAGGGUCCAGUCGGGAAACCUUCCCGAAAGACGGCGGUCGGGUCGGGAAACCUUCCUGAAAGACGGCGCGCCAGCCCGUCUUGCUUGCUCGCCGCCUGCUGACUUCCUUACUUUGCACACGGAAGGGGCAGGAACCGCAAGCGUGCAACUAGCCUGGAGCUACCCGUCUGGACUCGCAGGCCCUGUGGCUGUUUCCCACAGCUGCUACGGCCUCUCUUGCUCCUUGACACCGAGGAGGACCCCACUAGGAUCCGAGCGUCGUGAACUCACCUGAACUUUGGAAGCUUCACUUUCCAUGAGGACAAGAACAAUGAUUCCAGCCCUACUGCCCUGCCUACCAUAAAGUUGGACCUGUGUUAAUCACUCAAUUGGCAAGUAAGUAUUAAUUAGGUUACAGUCCAAACUGCUAUAACAAAGCCAUCCGCCACGCAAGUUUCUUUCUCACAGUACUCUUUCAGGUGUAGCACAGUACUCUUUCAGGGGUAGCACAACUGUCAUCCUCAUCCCUCGGCUUCCAUGUCCACUUCAAGGUAUCUAUGCUAGAUCCUGCCUUCAUAUCUGCAUUCCAGCCACUGAGAAGGGGAAAAGAGCAAGG
rnacentral:lncRNA from 1 species